AGCAGGGUGGGAGAUGCCUGAAAUUGUAGGCUCUCAGCAAAUAUUUGUUGCUUUCUCCUCCCCCCUCCCCAUCCCCUCCAGUUUGUUGAAAGUGAUGCAGAUGAAGAGCUUCUGUUUAAUAUUCCGUAAGUAUCUCCUUGGUGCCUACCUCAGGCUAAAUAGGCUGUACCCAGUUGCCUCAGAUGGAUUCAUUCACUGGUGUCAAGAGCACACAUUUGCUUCUAGAAAUGGGAUAAAUUACUUUGGUGGGUUUGAGGAGGAAAGCAUCAUAGCUUUCUUGGUGCAGACUGGAAACAGAUGUAUUUGUAGAACAAUAACUGAGAAAUUGAGGUAGAUUUCUUAGAAUUGUAGAAUGCUAGAGGUAGACAGGAUCUUAGAAAUUAUCUAGUACAAGUUGACAGAUGAGUAAACUGAAGCCCAUACAGGGGAAGGGUCUUGCCCAGGGUCACACAACUAAACAGGUAUUCAAACUCAGGUUUGACAACCUUCUCUUUUGCAUUCUGGCAGAUUUACGGGCAAUGUCAAGCUCAAAGGCAUCAUUAUAAUGGGAGAGGAUGAUGACUCACACCCCUCUGAGAUGAGACUGUACAAGAAUAUUCCACAGAUGUCCUUUGAUGAUACAGAAAGGGAGCCAGAUCAGACCUUUAGUCUGAACCGGGAUCUUACAGGAGAAUUAGAGUAUGCUACAAAAAUUUCUCGUUUUUCAAAUGUCUAUCAUCUCUCAAUUCAUAUUUCAAAAAACUUCGGAGCAGAU
rnacentral:lncRNA from 10 species